UACGUAGGGGGCAAGCGUUGUCCGGAAUCAUUGGGCGCAAAGCGCGUGUAGGCGGCUCGAUAAGUCUGCUGUGAAAGUUCAGGGCUCAACCCUGAAAUGCCGGUGGAAACUGUCGAGCUAGAGUCCGGAAGAGGCGAGUGGAAUUCCUGGUGUAGCGGUGAAAUGCGCAGAUAUCAGGAGGAACACCAAUGGCGAAGGCAGCUCGCUGGGACGGUACUGACGCUGAGACGCGAAAGCGUGGGGAGCAAACAGG
rnacentral:rRNA from 1 species